AUCUCUAUAAAGAGAGGUCAAAGAUCAUGACAUUUGAGAUCACAAAUUAACUAGCUUGAUGCCAAAGAAGAGACCCCAAAGCUUAGUCCAGACUACGUUACUGGUUCCAACAUUAUAGUGGGAUCCUUUUUUAUGAAUUACUCAUUUGAGUUUCAAACUAGACCAUCGCAGGCUGCACUUUCAUCACCAGCCACUUUUGAAGGAUCCAUCAACAUUCACUUUGGAAGUAUGGGGAGGAGAUGGAGCCAAGAGAUAUUGAUCUCCUUCUUGCCUGCCUCAACAUAAAUUGGAAUAAGUAGUUUAAUUAGCAUUUUCCUCUUUGCAUGGUCGAAUACUUUGUGUCAAAUAGAAUUGUUAUUAUCCAAUUAACUAAACAAAAUCAAAGAAUUAGGAUCCCAUCAUAGAGCCCAUAUACCUUCACCAAAGAAAUUAAUCAGGCCAAGUGUGAUGAGUUUCACCAAUCUCUGUUUGUAGAUAGUUUCCAUGGAGCCACUUAGUUAAUUAGCCCUAGAUAAAGAAACAAGUCUAGUGAUUGAAAUAAAUCACACAAUUCAAAAACUGCUAAACAUCCUCACAGUUCCAUAAAGCACAAAUAAUAGACUCAUCAUGGUCUUUACACUGAGGGCACAAGGCAGCAUCUAUCAUUAUUUACUUAUUUUGUUUAAUACACAUUAGAAGUUGUUUAUGAUUUUUUUAA
rnacentral:lncRNA from 1 species